UGUAUAUGUGUGUUACAAAUUUUGUACAUAUAAAACUAUAUAUAUAAAGCUUUUUACAUAUCUAUUUAAUUUUUGAUGUGGCCUAUUCAUUUUAUUAUAGGCAAAGCUUAAUUAUUAAGCUAAGCCUAUAAUUUUCAUUUAUAUAUGCUUAAUAUGCGUGUAAUAUAAAUAUAUUAUUGUAUCACCAAAAACAUGUAUUGAAAAUCUAUUAUUAUUAUAUAAAAACA
rnacentral:lncRNA from 1 species